CGCAGAGGCGCGAAAACUUUACCAUGCGGGCAACCGUGAUAAGGAAACCCCGAGUGCCAGCAGAGGCUGGCUGUCCGCCAGUGUACAUAACUGGUGAAGAAAGGGCCGGGCAAGACCGGUGCCAGCCGCCGCGGUAAUACCGGCGGCUCGAGUGGUGGCCGCUAUUACUGGGCUUAAAGGGUCCGUAGCUGGAUGUACAAGUCCCUUGAGAAAUCCGCGGGCUUAACCUGCGGGCGUUCAGGGGAAACUGUAUUUCUAGGGACCGGGAGAGGUGAGAGGUACUGCCGGGGUAGGAGUGAAAUCCUGUAAUCCCGGUGGGACCACCUAUGGCGAAGGCAUCUCACCAGAACGGGUCCGACAGUGAGGGACGAAAGCUGGGGGAGCAAACCGGAUUAGAUACCCGGGUAGUCCCAGCUGUAAACGAUGCGCGUUAGGUGUGUCAGUGACCACGUGUCACUGAGGUGCCGAAGGGAAACCGUGAACGCGCCGCCUGGGGAGUACGGUCGAAGGCUGAAACUUAA
rnacentral:rRNA from 1 species